GAUGAACGCUGGCGGCGUGCCUAAUACAUGCAAGUCGAGCGAACGGACGAGAAGCUUGCUUUUCUGAUGUUAGCGGCGGACGGGUGAGUAACACGUGGAUAACCUACCUAUAAGACUGGGAUAACUUCGGGAAACCGGAGCUAAUACCGGAUAAUAUUUUGAACCGCAUGGUUCAAAAGUGAAAGACGGUCUUGCUGUCACUUAUAGAUGGAUCCGCGCUGCAUUAGCUAGUUGGUAAGGUAACCGCUUACCAAGGCAACGAUGCAUAGCCGACCUGAGAGGGUGAUCGGCCACACUGGAACUGAGACACGGUCCAGACUCCUACGGGAGGCAGCAGUAGGGAAUCUUCCGCAAUGGGCGAAAGCCUGACGGAGCAACGCCGCGUGAGUGAUGAAGGUCUUCGGAUCGUAAAACUCUGUUAUUAGGGAAGAACAUAUGUGUAAGUAACUGUGCACAUCUUGACGGUACCUAAUCAGAAAGCCACGGCUAACUACGUG
rnacentral:rRNA from 1 species